rnacentral:rRNA from 1 species
CACGUAGGGUGCGAGCGUUGUCCGGAAUUAUUGGGCGUAAAGAGCUCGUAGGCGGUGUGUCGCGUCGGCCGUGAAAACCUGCAGCUUAACUGUGGGCUUGCGGUCGAUACGGGCAUCACUGGAGUUCGGCAGGGGAGACUGGAAUUCCUGGUGAUAGCGGUGAAAUGCGCAGAUAUCAGGAGGAACACCGGUGGCGAAGGCGGGUCUCUGGGGCAGUGAUCCUGACGCUGAGGAGC